rnacentral:rRNA from 1 species
UACGUAGGGUGCGAGCGUUGUCCGGAAUUAUUGGGCGUAAAGAGCUUGUAGGCGGUUUGUCGCGUCUGCCGUGAAAAUCCGGGGCUCAACCCCGGACUUGCGGUGGGUACGGGCAGACUAGAGUGUGGUAGGGGAGACUGGAAUUCCUGGUGUAGCGGUGAAAUGCGUAGAUAUCGUUUGGAACGCCAAUGGUGAAAACAGGCGACUGGGAGUGUGCUGACACUGAGACACGAAAGCCAGGGGAGCGAACGGG